rnacentral:lncRNA from 1 species
UCGUGAUAAUGGCUUUCGCUUCAGGUAUGUAAUCUAUAACGAUUUUGUGUAAAAAUAUCAUGUUUAAGAUCCUGAUAUGCAUUAAAGUAUUUAAGUUUACAUGUGAUAUCUUGAGCAUGGAUAUUUGAACUGAUAAUGUUCGUUAGCAAACUUUAUACUAUAUAUGUUUGAUUGCGGUAUUGUUACGAAAUAAAGAUUUGAUCAUGAGUACAGGUUUUCUGUUCAUGGGCAAAGCAUCAGUGAUGGAUCAUAAUUUUAUGGGAAAAGGCAAUCAACUCCAAGUACUAUUACCUCUCUUAUCUUACGUUUUAAAAUAGUAUAUUUGAUCUUGUAAUCACUUCUUGAAGGAGAAGCAUAUAACUAUUCAAUUUGGAUGACCAGUUUUGACGCCGAAAGUCAAACUGC